rnacentral:snRNA from 1 species
GGAUGUGAGGGUGAUCUGGCUGCAACAUCUGUCACUCCACUGAUCAUCAGGGUUGAUUUGGCUGACCUGGCUGGCCAAGCAGGUAUCCCCUUCCUCCCUCAAUGCUCCGUGUGUGUCCCUCCCAAAGCUUCAUGCACAGUGGAAGAGGAUGACCUUCCCCGAUAGAGGAGGAAUGGUCUUUGGUCAAGGGUAUAUGAGUAGCUAAGCUCCCCUGCUAGAACCUCCAAACAACCUCUCAAAUAAUUUCUGUUUAAUAGAGAAUAUGAGAUACAUAUAUAAAUAAUUUUAGUACAAGGUUGAACAUU